CUUAUAGAAAGAAGAUGUUUUCAAGGAAGAUGUCUUCAAAGAAAACUACUUUUACAGUAAAAGUUCCCAGAGAAAAGAGCAUGCCGCCCACACACAAGCGCACCCACGCCAAGCGAGCUAGAGAAUAUUUGAUAAAGUUCCAAUUCUUGAUGAGUCCAAAGGAGCUUGGGUCCCCAGCCCCAGUCUUGAUGUUGUACCAGCCAUCGUCGGAGUUGUUGGUCUGCAGGCAACACAGAUUUAUACAACAUGAGAUGAG